rnacentral:rRNA from 1 species
AUUGAACGCUGGCGGCAGGCCUAACACAUGCAAGUCGAACGAGUGGCGGACGGGUGAGUAAUGUCUGGGAAACUGCCCGAUGGAGGGGGAUAACUACUGGAAACGGUAGCUAAUACCGCAUACCAUCGGAUGUGCCCAGAUGGGAUUAGCUUGUAGGUGAGGUAACGGCUCACCUAGGCGACGAUCCCUAGCUGGUCUGAGAGGAUGACCAGCCACGUUGGAACGGAGACACGGUCGAGUCUCCUACGGGAGGCAGCAGUGGGGAAUAUUGCACAAUGGGCUAAAGCCUGAGGCAGCCAGGCCGCGGGUAUGAAGAAGGCCUUCGGUGUGGAAAGUACUUUCAGCGGGGAGGCGUUACCCUCAGAAGAAGCCCCGGCUAACUCCGUGCCAGCAGCCGCGGUAAUAC